GUUGAACGCUGGCGGCAGGCCUAACACAUGCAAGUCGAACGGUAACAGGAAGCAGCUUGCUGCUUCGCUGACGAGUGGCGGACGGGUGAGUAAUGUCUGGGAAACUGCCCGAUGGAGGGGGAUAACUACUGGAAACGGUAGCUAAUACCGCAUAACGUCGCAAGACCAAAGAGGGGGGACCUUCGGGCCUCUUGCCAUCGGAUGUGCCCAGAUGGGAUUAGCUUGUUGGUGAGG
rnacentral:rRNA from 1 species